AUGAAGGGGUGGGGUGCCAACCUGGGGCGUGAUCUUCCUGAAGGAAAGAAAUCCUUGUUGUCCGCCAUCCAGGCCCUGGACCUGUGCGCAGACGCAGUUGGCCUCUCACCUGAGGAGUGGCUCUCUAGGUACGACUUGGAAGACCAGCUCUCGGUCAUUUACACCGACGAGGAGGCCUACUGGCGCCUGCGCAGGGCCUAGAAAUGGGUCCUAAAAGGAGAUGCGAACACGGCCUACUUCCAGGCCAUAGCGAAUGGUCGGCGUCGUCGCAAUACCAUCCCCCUCCUUUGGGAUGGGGAUUCUCUGCUGUAGUCCCCCAGCGACAUUAGGGAUCAUGUCGACGGCUUUAUCAGCCCUUUUCUCUGCCCCCCCCCUUGGGGAGGCUUAUCUUUGGCCUUCGACUGCUGGCCCGACCGCCAGUGUGUCUCCGACAUGGAGAAUGCGGCCCUCACGGCUCCCUUCUCCGAGGGCGAGGACUAGGAUGCCAUCCGCGGCAUGAAUCCUUCCUCGGCCCCUGGCCCUGAUGGCCUCCCAGUGAAAUUCUUCCAGACUUUCUGGAACGUGAUCAAACCGGAGAUCAUGGCCAUUUUCGACGAGUUCUAUGUUGGAGCCAUCAAUCUCGGGCGCCUCAACUACGGGAUCAUCUCGUUGAUCACGAAAGUUCCGGGCGCCGAUAUUCGUCAGUUCCGUCCUAUCACGGUCAUCAACGUGAUUUUUUGGAUUCUGGCCAAAGGGUACACCAAUAGGGUGACCCUCCUCGCCGACCAGAUUACCCACCCCAACCAGUCCGCCUUCAUUAAGGGGCGGUAUAUCCUGGAUGGGGUGCUAGUUCUCCAUGAAGUCCUCCAUGAGGUGCGGUCUAAACACAUCAAGGGGGUUUUCUUGAAGAUUGAUUUCCAUAAGGCCUACGACACGGUUAGUUGGCCCUUCCUUCGGGAAGUUUUGCUCCGAAAGGGCUUUGAUGACCAUUGGAUCUCCAGAGUGAUGCAGAUGGUCUCUUGCGGCCGCACCGCCGUGAACAUCAAUGGGGAGAUCGGCCCUUACUUCCCCACCUUCUGUGGGGUAAGGCAAGGCGAUCCCUUCUCCCCAUUCUUGUUCAAUAUGGCUGUAGACGCGCUUGCCGCCAUCUUGGAUAAGGAUAAAGCUGCUGGCCAUAUCCAUGGGAUCACUCCCCACCUGGCUGGCAGCUCCGGGAUCUCCCUUCUCUAG
rnacentral:rRNA from 1 species